UACGUAGGUGGCAAGCGUUGUCCGGAAUUACUGGGUGUAAAGGGCGUGUAGGCGGGAAUGCAAGUCAGAUGUGAAAUUCCGGGGCUUAACCUCGGCGCUGCAUCUGAAACUGUAUUUCUUGAGUAUCGGAGAGGAAAGCGGAAUUCCCAGUGUAGCGGUGAAAUGCGUAGAGAUUGGGAGGAACACCAGUGGCGAAGGCGGCUUUCUGGACGAAAACUGACGCUGAGGCGCGAAAGCGUGGGGAGCAAACAGG
rnacentral:rRNA from 1 species